AGGUUUUAACUCGCGGUUUACCG
rnacentral:snRNA from 1 species